rnacentral:tRNA from 1 species
GCGGCCGUAGCUCAGUUGGUAGAGCAUCGGGUUGUGAUCCUGAAAGUCGCGGGUUCAAAUCCCGUCGGUCGCCCA